ensembl:snRNA U6 U6 spliceosomal RNA
GUGCUCACUUCAGCAUCACAUAUGCUAAAAUUGGAAUGAUACAUGGAGGAGUAGCAUGGCCCCUGUGCAAGGAUGGCAUGUGAACUUGUGAAGCAUUACAUAUUAAA